rnacentral:rRNA from 1 species
GCCCCGGUAAACGGCGGCCGUAACUAUAACGGUCCUAAGGUAGCGAAAUUCCUUGUCGGGUAAGUUCCGACCUGCACGAAUGGCGUAAUGAUGGCCAGGCUGUCUCCACCCGAGACUCAGUGAAAUUGAACUCGCUGUGAAGAUGCAGUGUACCCGCGGCAAGACGGAAAGACCCCGUGAACCUUUACUAUAGCUUGACACUGAACAUUGAGCCUUGAUGUGUAGGAUAGGUGGGAGGCUUUGAAGUGUGGACGCCAGUCUGCAUGGAGCCGACCUUGAAAUACCACCCUUUAAUGUUUGAUGUUCUAACGUUGGCCCGUAAUCCGGGUUGCGGACAGUGUCUGGUGGGUAGUUUGACUGGGGCGGUCUCCUCCUAAAGAGUAACGGAGGAGCACGAAGGUUGGCUAAUCCUGGUCGGACAUCAGGAGGUUAGUGCAAUGGCAUAAGCCAGCUUGACUGCGAGCGUGACGGCGCGAGCAGGUGCGAAAGCAGGUCAUAGUGAUCCGGUGGUUCUGAAUGGAAGGGCCAUCGCUCAACGGAUAAAAGGUACUCCGGGGAUAACAGGCUGAUACCGCCCAAGAGUUCAUAUCGACGGCGGUGUUUGGCACCUCGAUGUCGGCUCAUCACAUCCUGGGGCUGAAGUAGGUCCCAAGGGUAUGGCUGUUCGCCAUUUAAAGUGGUACGCGAGCUGGGUUUAGAACGUCGUGAGACAGUUCGGUCCCUAUCUGCCGUGGGCGCUGGAGAACUGAGGGGGGCUGCUCCUAGUACGAGAGGACCGGAGUGGACGCAUCACUGGUGUUCGGGUUGUCAUGCCAAUGGCACUGCCCGGUAGCUAAAUGCGGAAGAGAUAAGUGCUGAAAGCAUCUAAGCACGAAACUUGCCCCGAGAUGAGUUCUCCCUGACUCCUUGAGGGUCCUGAAGGAACGUUGAAGACGACGACGUUGAUAGGCCGGGUGUGUAAGCGCAGCGAUGCGUUGAGCUAACCGGUACUAAUGAA